CAGUAGCCACGGGAAAACGUAGGGUGCAAGCGUUAAUCGGAAUUACUGGGCGUAAUGCGUGCGCAGGCGGUUCGUUAAGACAGAUGUGAAAUCCCCGGGCUUAACCUGGGUACUGCAUUUGUGACUGGCGGGCUAGAGUAUGGCAGAGGGGGGUGGAAUUCCACGUGUAGCAGUGAAAUGCGUAGAGAUCGGAAAGAACACCAACGGCGAAAGCACUCUGCUGGGCCGACACUGACACUGAGAGACGAAAGCUAGGGGAGCAAAUGGGAUUAGAUACCCCGGUAGUCCCUGUCUCUUAUAA
rnacentral:rRNA from 1 species